GACGAACGCUGGCGGCGUGCCUAAUACAUGCAAGUAGAACGCUGAAGGAGGAGCUUGCUUCUCUGGGUGAGUUGCGAACGGGUGAGUAACGCGUAGGUAACCUGCCUGGUAGCGGGGGAUAACUAUUGGAAACGAUAGCUAAUACCGCAUAAGAGUAGAUGUCGCAUGACAUUUGCUUAAAAGGUGCAAUUGCAUCACUACCAGAUGGACCUGCGUUGUAUUAGCUAGUUGGUGAGGUAACGGCUCACCAAGGCAACGAUACAUAGCCGACCUGAGAGGGUGAUCGGCCACACUGGGACUGAGACACGGCCCAGACUCCUACGGGAGGCAGCAGUAGGGAAUCUUCGGCAAUGGACGGAAGUCUGACCGAGCAACGCCGCGUGAGUGAAGAAGGUUUUCGGAUCGUAAAGCUCUGUUGUAAGAGAAGAACGAGUGUGAGAGUGGAAAGUUCACACUGUGACGGUAUCUUACCAGAAAGAGACGGCUAACUACGUG
rnacentral:rRNA from 1 species